rnacentral:rRNA from 1 species
GGACUACCCGGGUUUCUAAUCCUGUUUGCUCCCCUAGCUUUCGUCUCUCAGCGUCAGUUGCGGUCCAGUGAGCCGCCUUCGCCUCUGGUGUUCCUGCAGAUAUCUACGCAUUUCACCGCUACACCUGCAAUUCCACUCACCUCUCCCGCACUCCAGCACGGCAGUUUCGAAAGCAGACUCAGAGUUAAGCCCUGAGAUUUCACUCCCGACUUGCCGCACCGCCUACAGACUCUUUACGCCCAGUAAUUCCGAGCAACGCUGGCCCCCUACGUCUUACCGCGGCGGCUGGCAC